UCAUAAGCGGAGGAAAAGAAACUAACAAGGAUUCCCCUAGUAACUGCGAGUGAAGCGGGAAAAGCUCAAAUUUAAAAUCUGGCGGUCUCUGGCCGUCCGAGUUGUAAUCUAGAGAAGUAAUGCCCGUGCUGGACCGUGUAUAAGUCUCCUGGGAUGGGGCGUCAUAGAGGGUGAGAAUCCCGUCUUUGACACGGACUACCAGUGCAUUGUGGUAUGCUCUCAAAGAGUCGAGUUGUUUGGGAAUGCAGCUCAAAAUGGGUGGUAAAUUCCAUCUAAAGCUAAAUAUUGGCGAGAGACCGAUAGCGAACAAGUACCGUGAGGGAAAGAUGAAAAGAACUUUGGAAAGAGAGUUAAACAGUACGUGAAAUUGCUGAAAGGGAAACGCUUGAAGUCAGUCGCGUUGGCCGGGGAUCAGCCUUGCUUUUGCAUGGUGUACUUUCUGGUUGACGGGUCAGCAUCAAUUUUGACCGCUGGAAAAAGACCUGGGGAAUGUGGCAGCUUCGGCUGUGUUAUAGCCCCUAGUCGCAUACAGUGGUUGGGAUUGAGGAACUCAGCACGCCGCAAGGCCGGGUUUCGACCACGUUCGUGCUUAGGAUGCUGGCAUAAUGGCUUUAAGCGACCCGUCUUGAAACACGGACCAAGGAGUCUAACAUGCCUGCGAGUAUUUGGGUGGAAAACCCAAGUGCGUAAUGAAAGUGAAAGUUGAGAUCCCUGUCGUGGGGAGCAUCGACGCCCGGACCAGAACUUUUGGGACGGAUCCGCGGUGGAGCAUGUAUGUUGGGACCCGAAAGAUGGUGAACUAUGCCUGAAUAGGGUGAAGCCAGAGGAAACUCUGGUGGAGGCUCGUAGCGAUUCUGACGUGCAAAUCGAUCGUCAAAUUUGGGUAUAGGGGCGAAAGACUAAUCGAACCAUCUAGUAGC
rnacentral:rRNA from 1 species